CGAACGCUGGCGGCGUGCCUAAUACAUGCAAGUCGAACGGUCUUUCUAUGGAAGCUUGCUUCCACUGAGAAGAUAGUGGCAACGGGUGAGUAACACGUGGGGUAACCUGCCCAUAAGAGGGGGGAUAACAUCCGGAAACGGGUGCUAAUACCGCAUAGUUUUCUUGAUCGCAUGAUCGGGAAAGGAAAGACGGCCUUUGUGCUGUCGCUUAUGGAUGGACCCGCGGCGUAUUAGUUAGUUGGUGAGGUAACGGCUCACCAAGACGAUGAUACGUAGCCGACCUGAGAGGGUGAUCGGCCACAUUGGGACUGAGACACGGCCCAAACUCCUACGGGAGGCAGCAGUAGGGAAUCUUCCGCAAUGGACGAAAGUCUGACGGAGCAACGCCGCGUGAGUGAAAGAAGGUUUUCGGAUCGUAAAACUCUGUUGUCAGAGAAGAACAAGUUGGAGAGUAACUGCUCCAGCCUUGACGGUAUCUGACCAGAAAGCCACGGCUAACUACGUGCCAGCCGCCGC
rnacentral:rRNA from 1 species